UCCAUUUAUAUGAGGCAUCCAAAGUCGUCGGUCAUCAAACCAGAAAUAUUCCUGCUGGAGACAUUAUCCCUCUACACAAGAGGAAAAUCAGAGCUAGAGAAUACUUAAGAGAAAAGACAGACAUUUGCAGUGAGUAAGCAUCCUUUGUGC